UGGGGAAUUUUGGACAAUGGGGGAAACCCUGAUCCAGCCAUCCCGCGUGUGCGAUGAAGGCCUUCGGGUUGUAAAGCACUUUUGGCAGGAAAGAAACGUCAUGGGUUAAUACCCCGUGAAACUGACGGUACCUGCAGAAUAAGCACCGGCUAACUACGUGCCAGCAGCCGCGGUAAUACGUAGGGUGCAAGCGUUAACCGGAAUUACUGGGCGUAAAGCGUGCGCAGGCGGUUCGGAAAGAAAGAUGUGAAAUCCCAGAGCUCAACUUUGGAACUGCAUUUUUAACUACCGGGCUAGAGUGUGUCAGAGGGAGGUGGAAUUCCGCGUGUAGCAGUGAAAUGCGUAGAUAUGCGGAGGAACACCGAUGGCGAAGGCAGCCUCCUGGGAUAACACUGACGCUCAUGCACGAAAGCGUGGGGAGCAAACAGG
rnacentral:rRNA from 1 species